ensembl:lncRNA
GGGUUGCGGGCUCCGGGAGGAGCCUUGGGGGAGGAGGAGGAGGAGGAAGGCGAGGAAGAGAACCUUCCAGCGGGUACCAGUGCGCCGUGUGGCCGCUUACCUCCCGAGGGGGGGGGGAAGGGCUGCCUUUCUCUCAGCUUUCCGGCUACUACUACCGCACCGCUGCGGUUUUUGGCUGCUCGGAGGUUUUGCUGGGGAGGAGAGUUCUCUCCCUUCUUCGCGCCCUUUCGCUCGGGCCACUCGGUUCCUUCUCUCCUCCUCCUGGGCAGCAUCCACGGAGGGUGGGAAGAAAAGGGUCCCUGUUGCGUGGAAGAAGGAUCUCCCACAGAAAGCCCAAGGACCAGGUUACAGAAGAAAUCAAAAGAUUAUAAAUUAUUUUCAUGGAUACAGGCAAGGAGACAAUGGUACUUCAACCUGUGCUUCAAUCUGUGCAAGCUCCUUGAAGAGAAAAUCUGCAGUGGAGGCAUCAUGAAAUACUCGUCUUAUACAGAAGAACAUACUUCAGCUCAAACAACAGGCAGGAUUAUUCAAACCCAUUGGAACAGAAGUCAAUGCAUUGACCUCUACAGCUUGCUACAAAUGGCAGAUAAACGUCUUUGGCACUCCAGCUAUAAGGAUUCAGCAGGAAAACAGCUUCUGCAAUCAAGGAUGGACGAAAAUGUGUACCCAACAAGUAAGCAAGAAAAGGCUCUUGGAGUAGGAUUUCUUCAAAUGGCUCACGUUCCACCCCACCCUACCCCUACCCCUGCCAUAUACGUUGACUCUGCUCUACUGAGCAGUGUUUCCUCUCUCCCCACCCCCAAAUAAUAAUAAUGUGGAUAUUUUGGGGAAAAUGUGGACAUUUGGGGGGAAAGGAAGUCUUUUUGGUCCUGAGUCCUGCCCUCUCUGAGAAAAUAAUGGCAGUGAGAAAUACAGCCAUCUGACAGUUCACUGUAACUAUGGAUAUUCACAUUUGAAAACUCAGCAUCACUUUUUCUAUUCAGAAUGAAAGUCUUGUCACAUAGAGCAGAACACUCAAGCAUUGGAGUCAGAGACCCAUGAUUCCUCUCCUACAUAUGCACAUGCACACACCACUAAAACCACCAGCAGCAGCAGUAGCACUCCUGCUACAUGAUUCCUCUCCUACAUAUGCACAUGCAUACACCACUAGAACCACCACCACCACCAGCACUCCUGCUGAGGCUGCUGAAUUUGUUACUGCAGCAACAACAAGCAGCACUUCCCCUUUAAAAGUGAUGUUUCUGUUUUACAACUGUUUCUUUACAUUUCCCAGCAAUCUGUUACAACUGCUGACUAUUAGUGUCUUUAUUAUAUAUUUGUUUUGCUUUCUGUAGGUAGACCUCAAAGAGGUGGCAGCGAAAAGACAUUCUGCAAUGUGACCACGACCACCACCGGUCCAACUCUUCCUGUGUGGAAUUGAAAACUUCAUGCCCAAGAACCGUCCAUGCAUGCUGCAAGCUGACAGAUGUACAGUAAUGCAGAAGUUUAGAACCAUAUCUAACAAGAGACUACACUAGUGGGAAGGUUGAAUCUCUGUUUGCUCUGUGUCAGGUGGCUCUCAAAAGCACAUGUGUUCUCUUUGGUGAAACAACUUAUCAGUACAUUAAGGUAAUCAAAAGAGGUCCAUUGUAUAUCAAGACACAGAAAAGUGCUGCAAGCUGACAGAUGUACAGUAAUGCAGAAGUUUAGAACCAUAUCUAACAAGAGACUACACUAGUGGGAAGGUUGAAUCUCUGUUUGCUCUGUGUCAGGUGGCUCUCAAAAGCACAUGUGUUCUCUUUGGUGAAACAACUUAUCAGUACAUUAAGGUAAUCAAAAGAGGUCCAUUGUAUAUCAAGACACAGAAAAGAGGAUUUGCACUUAUCAGUACAUUAAGGUAAUCAAAAGAAGUCCAUUGUAUAUCAAGACACUUACGGCCAGCAGAAAAAAGGAUUUUCUCAGUAGUGGCACCCUGAAUGUGGUGUGCCUUUUGCAGGAAGUGCAACUGAAGCCAACACUGUCUUACUUUUGAUUUACACACACAUUGUAUUUUUCUUUUUCUACACACAUGGUAUUUUUUAAAGUUGUACACAUAUGUUCAAUAUUACUUUUUAUAUUUUUAUUUGAGGUUAUUUUGCAGUAUUAAAUUUUUACUUUUUGUAUAAUACAGCUCUGAAAUCAUACUUUGCGUUAUGGUGUGGUACUUGCAUGUUAAAAAUAAAAUAAAAAGAUUAUCGUUCUGUUUUGUUUCA